GCCAAAUAUCUACACCUAAAUGGUGAGAUAGUCUUGGCAAUUGUUUGCUCUUUUUAAUUGAACAUCAAUCUUCAAAUUCCAUCAAUCCACCCCCUUUUUUCCUUUCCUUUCCUUUCCCUUCCCUUCAGCCUUGACUUUGGAUCCAAAAACGCAGAUAUCGAAACCGUUUUGCUCAACAGACUCUGUUUUCUGUUUUAUCAGUAGUGCGCUGCCCACACACACCAACACUUAACAGAAACGGUUACAGCAACCGUAACAAAAAAAACAUGGGAGAAGAGGUUAAGAUCGCCGACUACCCAGGCGGCGGCGCCGACGACGAGCGUGUUUCCGAGUGGGAGCUUGGCCUCCCCUCUCCCGCCGACCUUCCGCCGCUCUCUCAGGCCCUGAUCCCGCCGGAGCUUGCCUCCGCCUUCAGCAUCACCCCGGAGCCCUACCGGACUCUUCUCGACGUCAACCGCGCCUCGCAGGACACCAUCUCCGCAAUUCGCGGCGGCGCAUCCCAGGCCUUCUCCUCCAGCAAUUUCCAACUCGACGACCGCGCCACCGUGUUUGAGCCCGACGCCACGGUGUUUGCCGAUGAGGAAUUAGAGCCCGAUCGAGAUGGCUCCGGCUCUGAUUCCAGGAAGCUCCGGAAGAUCGACAGCGCCGCCGAGGAGGCCGAUUCGGCAGCGCCACCGGCCAACGACGAUCCCUCCGCCCGGUCAAUGAAGCGGCCGCGUCUCGUGUGGACGCCUCAGCUUCACAAGCGCUUCGUCGACGUGGUGGCGCACCUCGGAAUCAAGAACGCGGUUCCGAAGACGAUUAUGCAGCUAAUGAACGUAGAAGGAUUGACUCGCGAGAACGUUGCGAGCCACCUUCAGAAAUAUCGCCUUUACUUGAAGCGAAUGCAAGGGUUGUCCAACGAAGGUCCUUCUUCUUCUGAUCAGUUGUUCGCGUCGACUCCUGUGCCGCAGAGCUUGCACGAGUCCGGCGGUGGUGGCGGAAGCGCGGGGCAUUCCCAUGGAAACGGACACCUUCCGGUUCCAAUUCCGUUGCCGUAUCCAGGUCCGCCGGCGAUGAUGCCAAUGCCGAUGCUCGGGAUGCCUCCGAUGGGUAUGGCCGUAGGGAACCACCACGGAUUCAACCCGUUGGCGCAGCAACGGGAUUGGUCCGGUGCGAAUAAAUUUGGUUCCGUUGUUUCGUACCCUCAGAGUCACAGUCAGGGCGUCACUCCUAGUGAUAAAUGAAUUCCAACUUUUGAAUUUCUCAUCUCACUAUUAAAGAAAUAGAAUGAGUAAUAUGUAUGCAUCUUUGUUUAUAUUUUCGGUGUUUACCAAUGUGAUUAUGCCGAGGGUGAGGUGAAAUGAUGCAGUUCUGUGAUGUUGUCGUCUAUUGAUUGUGAAGAUUCAAAUGUUAAAUUAAUGGUCAUUCCUUCAAGUCAGUUUCGGAGGAGCAACUUCAUAAUUCACAUGCAGACAUCAUGGAGCCAAAACUACAGUUUGAAUAGUAAUAUGUAACCUUUCAGCAGAAUGUACAUACCUAUUCAUUUGCAUCAUAUUGUAGCAGCAAUCUACCAUGUGGUCUGCCCAAGGACAGCUGAUUCUAAACUGUUGAAGUUUGGCAGCAUUGGCGUAGAGUAUAGACUGGGAAUACAAGAUGGUUCCCCACAUGUUAGUGUAGACUGUAGAGUGAGGACUAGAGGGUAAGAUGCAUAUCUGAAAAUGUUUGGAACAGGAAGCAAGAUGCACGGUGUUGGAGAAUUUAAUUCUGUUUGGGAUAAAUAUUAUGAAUCAAUUAAAGAAAUCUUUUUAGCACAACUACAAUUUAUACCUUAGCAUCAUAAGGACAAAAUUUUGACUCCAACUUAGCACGCUACCCAUUCCCUUCCUAAAGAGAUAGCACCAUAGAUUCCCCUUUAGAAUAACACUUUUCAUUGUGGUUUUGCGGGACAAUUUUCCUUUUCAUGCUUUGCCAAUUACAAAAGUGCAAAAGCGAUAUGCAUGCUAAAGAGGAUUUGUGGAAAAAUAUGUAUGCAUCUACAUGUAUUUAGUUGGGAUCUAUUCAGACGUCACAGUAAGCGUAAUUUAAAGAGUUGCUCAUAAUUA